rnacentral:rRNA from 1 species
GCUCCAGACUCCUACGGGAGGCAGCAGUGAGGAAUAUUGGUCAAUGGGCGCGAGCCUGAACCAGCCAAGUCGCGUGAGGGAUGAAGGAUCUAUGGUUCGUAAACCUCUUUUAUAAGGGAAUAAAGUGCGGGACGCGUCCCGCUUCGCAUGUACCUUAUGAAUAAGGAUCGGCUAACUCCGUGCCAGCAGCCGCGGUAAUACGGAGGAUCCGAGCGUUAUCCGGAUUUAUUGGGUUUAAAGGGUGCGCAGGCGGAGGUGCAAGUCAGUGGUCAAAUUGCGGGGCUCAACCCCGUACUGCCGUUGAAACUGCAUCCCUUGAGUGCGCGAGAAGUAUGCGGAAUGCGCGGUGUAGCGGUGAAAUGCAUAGAUAUCGCGCAGAACUCCGAUUGCGAAGGCAGCAUGCCGGCUCCACACUGACGCUGAGGCACGAAAGCGUGGGUAUCGAACAGGAUUAGAUACCCCCGUAGA